GACGAACGCUGGCGGCGUGCUUAACACAUGCAAGUCGAACGAAGAGCGAUGGAAGCUUGCUUCUAUCAAUCUUAGUGGCGAACGGGUGAGUAACGCGUAAUCAACCUGCCCUUCAGAGGGGGACAACAGUUGGAAACGACUGCUAAUACCGCAUACGAUCUAAUCUCGGCAUCGAGGAUAGAUGAAAGGUGGCCUCUACAUGUAAGCUAUCACUGAAGGAGGGGAUUGCGUCUGAUUAGCUAGUUGGAGGGGUAACGGCCCACCAAGGCGAUGAUCAGUAGCCGGUCUGAGAGGAUGAACGGCCACAUUGGGACUGAGACACGGCCCAGACUCCUACGGGAGGCAGCAGUGGGGAAUCUUCCGCAAUGGACGAAAGUCUGACGGAGCAACGCCGCGUGAGUGAUGACGGCCUUCGGGUUGUAAAGCUCGGUUAAUCGGGACGAAAGGCCUUCUUGCGAAUAGGGAGAAGGAUUGACGGUACCGGAAUAGAAAGCCACGGCUAACUACGUG
rnacentral:rRNA from 1 species